AGGAGUGGAGCCUGCGGCUUAAUUUGACUCAACACGGGAAACCUCACCAGGCCCGGACACCGGAAGGAUUGACAGAUUGAGAGCUCUUUCUUGAUUCGGUGGGUGGUGGUGCAUGGCCGUUCUUAGUUGGUGGAGCGAUUUGUCUGGUUAAUUCCGAUAACGAACGAGACUCUAGCCUGUUAACUAGGCGUAUUUUCGACAUCUCAAAGGCCCGCCGGUCCGCGAGCCGUCGUGAUCGUGCGCGGUUUUUACUGUCGGCGUACAAUAUAAUCUUCUUAGAGGGACAGGCGGCUUCUAGCCGCACGAGAUUGAGCAAUAACAGGUCUGUGAUGCCCUUAGAUGUUCUGGGCCG
rnacentral:rRNA from 1 species